GAACUAGUAGCUUAAUGGUAAAGUACUGGCUUGUCACGCUAGAGGAUGUCUGUUCGAGUCAGAUCUAUUUCG
rnacentral:tRNA from 1 species